GUUCGCGCUUGCCGUGUCGCGCAUGGCCGCGCGCCCGCACUUUGCAAAGGAUUCAACGGGUCGGUUUCGUGCGCACAUCGCAUUCUCUGUGUGUUCCUGCGUUGAUGGCUCAGCUUUGUUUUGGUGCUUUCAGACAUUCACGUACUAAUCACAGACAUGGGAAGACUAUAAGACGUCAAGAUGAAAGGCUCCUAGCAGCUCUCAGUGUUCCCAACGAAACUGGCAGAAUGGCAGUGGCCGAUUACAAGCUGCCUUUGGUGAACAAAGAAACCGUGACCACAUUAGAAUCCGAGCAGAGCUCCAAUCCUGCAUUCUGAUGACACCUUACACAAUGGCUCUCUGUUAUGUGGGGCUGGUACUUAAGAAGCUUUACUGCGGGCAUCCUACCCACUAUUUUCAGACAGUUUUGGCGGAAACUUAAGCUGGACUCUAGGCCAGCGGCGGAAAAAGAGCUUCAGGGACGUGCAUGUCUACAGUGUCAUGGAAGAUGCAUCAAAGGAUACUGGACCUGCCGCCAGCUGACAUGCCUUUCUUCCUCCUUAGUUCUGUUAAGAUGUGGGUUCAGUUUUUCUAGACAUGCAUUUCAUAAUAUAUGCAGUCUAGUCAAUCAGUGCACGGCAUUGCAUGCCAUUCAUUUCCUAUGUAUAUAUUUAGUCAGAAUCAAAGCAGGACAAGCACAUGUACAUAAUUUGCAAGAAUAAAAUUUUGUUUUUUGAUAAUUUUGCUGCCUCUUAAACAUUGUUAUGAAAUGCUGGCUAUAGAAGAGGCAUUUUACAAGAUGUCUUUUCAAUGUGCCUCAUUCAACACCCUUGUGUGCUGCAUGACUUUUGCUUGUGUUAUCAGUAUACCCAAAUUAAUUGUGCGCUAAUGCAGAUCACUGGUACUGCUAUUGUUUUCUUGGAACCAGUGGUGCGAUUCAGGAUUUCUAGGAAAUGUACAUAUAUUGAAUGCGACUGGCUUUAACUUCAAAAUAAAAACACGCAACGCUACUAAGCUGAAAAAAGUUCAGUAUUAUGUGCCUAAUGCAUGUUUUUCCAAAGGUAUAAAUAUUAAAGGCUGCAUAGAUUCCAUAGUUUGGUAAUGAAAUCUGUCAAGGUAUAAUAGU